rnacentral:ribozyme from 1 species
UUCUUUUCUGUAUUUUUUUUUUUUUAUUUUUUUUUAUUUUUUAUUGAA